GAUGAACGCUGGCGGCGUGCCUAAUACAUGCAAGUCGAGCGAACGGACGAGAAGCCUGCUUCUCUGAUGUUAGCGGCGGACGGGUGAGUAACACGUGGAUAACCUACCUAUAAGACUGGGAUAACUUCGGGAAACCGGAGCUAAUACCGGAUAAUAUUUUGAACCGCAUGGUUCAAAAGUGAAAGACGGUCUUGCUGUCACUUAUAGAUGGAUCCGCGCUGCAUUAGCUAGUUGGUAAGGUAACGGCUUGCCAAGGCAACGAUGCAUAGCCGACCUGAGAGGGUGAUCGGCCACACUGGAACUGAGACACGGUCCAGACUCCUACGGGAGGCAGCAGUAGGGAAUCUUCCGCAAUGGGCGAAAGCCUGACGGAGCAACGCCGCGUGAGUGAUGAAGGUCUUCGGAUCGUAAAACUCUGUUAUUAGGGAAGAACAUAUGUGUAAGUAACUGUGCACAUCUUGACGGUACCUAAUCAGAAAGCCACGGCUAACUACGUG
rnacentral:rRNA from 1 species